rnacentral:tRNA from 1 species
AGCAUUUAAUUGCCUGUAUAGAGAGCUAACUCUUAAUCAGUAGGUUGAAGGUUCGAUUCCUUCACGGGUUACCA